CCUACGGGAGGCUGCAGUGGGGAAUAUUGGGCAAUGGGCGCAAGCCUGACCCAGCAACGCCGCGUGAAGGAAGAAGGCUUUCGGGUUGUAAACUUCUUUUAAGGGGGAAGAGCAGAGGCCGGUACCCCUUGAAUAAGCCACGCCUAACUACGGGCCAGCAGCCGCGGUAAUUCGUCGGUGGCCAGCGUUGUCCGGAUUUACUGGGUGUACAGGGCGUGCAGCCGGAGAGACAAGUCAGAUGUGAAAUCCACGGGCUCAACCCGGGACCUGCAUUUGAAACUGUUUCCCUUGAGUGUCGUGGAGGUAAUAGGAAUUCCUUGUGUAGCGGUGAAAUGCGUAGAUAUAAGGAAGAACACCAGUGGCGAAGGCGGAUUACUGGACGAUAACUGACGGUGAGGCGCGAAAGCGUGGGGAGCAAACAGGAUUAGAUACCCUGGUAGUC
rnacentral:rRNA from 1 species